rnacentral:rRNA from 1 species
UACGUAGGUGGCAAGCGUUGUCCGGAUUUACUGGGCGUAAAGGAUGCGUAGGUGGAUAUUUAAGUGGGAUGUGAAAUACCCGGGCUCAACUUGGGUGCUGCAUUCCAAACUGGAUAUCUAGAGUGCAGGAGAGGAAAGCGGAAUUCCUAGUGUAGCAGUGAAAUGCGUAGAUAUUAGGAGGAACACCGGUGGCGAAGGCGGUUCUCUGGGCCUUACCUGACACUGAGGAGCGAAAGCGUGGGGAGCGAACAGG